AUUUGAACGCUGGCGGAAUGCUUUACACAUGCAAGUCGAGCGGCAGCGCGGGGCAACCUGGCGGCGAGCGGCGAACGGGUGAGUAAUACAUCGGAACGUGCCCAGACGUGGGGGAUAACUACUCGAAAGAGUGGCUAAUACCGCAUACGAUCUAAGGAUGAAAGCGGGGGAUCGCAAGACCUCGCGCGUCUGGAGCGGCUGAUGGCAGAUUAGGUAGUUGGUGGGGUAAAGGCUUACCAAGCCUGCGACCUGUAGCUGGUCUGAGAGGAUGAUCAGCCACACUGGGACUGAGACACGGCCCAGACUCCUACGGGAGGCAGCAGUGAGGAAUAUUGGGCAAUGGGCGAAAGCCUGACCCAGCAACGCCGCGUGAGGGAUGAAGGCCUUCGGGUUGUAACCUCUUUCUGGAGAAGAGACAAGGACGGUA
rnacentral:rRNA from 1 species